rnacentral:rRNA from 1 species
UACGAAGGGGGCUAGGCGUUGCUCGGAAUCACUGGGCGUAAAGCGCACGUAGGCGGCUUUCUAAGUCAGGGGUGAAAUCCUGGAGGCUCAAACUCCCAGAACUGCCUUUGAUACUGGAGAGCUUGAGUCCGGGAGAGGUGAGUGGAACUCCGAGUGUAGAGGUGAAAUUCGUAGAUAUUCGGAAGAACACCAGUGGCGAAGGCGGCUCACUGGUCCGGUACUGACGCUGAGGUGCGAAAGCGUGGGGAGCAAACAGG